rnacentral:rRNA from 1 species
UGGGCGCAAGCCUGAUGCAGCGACGCCGCGUGAGGGAUGACGGCCUUCGGGUUGUAAACCUCUUUCACCAGGGACGAAGCGUGAGAGACGGUACCUGGAGAAGAAGCACCGGCCAACUACGUGCCAGCAGCCGCGGUAAUACGUAGGGUGCGAGCGUUGUCCGGAAUUACUGGGCGUAAAGAGCUCGUAGGCGGUUUGUCGCGUCGUCUGUGAAAUUCUGCAACUCAAUUGCAGGCGUGCAGGCGAUACGGGCAGACUUGAGUACUACAGGGGAGACUGGAAUUCCUGGUGUAGCGGUGAAAUGCGCAGAUAUCAGGAGGAACACCGGUGGCGAAGGCGGGUCUCUGGGUAGUAACUGACGCUGAGGAGCGAAAGCGUGGGUAGCGAACAGGAUUAGAUACCCUGGUAGUCCACGCCGUAAACGGUGGGUACUAGGUGUGGGUUCCUUUUCACGGGAUCCGUGCCGUAGCUAACGCAUUAAGUACCCCGCCUGG